AACGUAGGAGACAAACGUUAUCCGGAGUUACUGGGCGUAAAGGGCGUGUAGGCGGUUAGGUAAGUCUGGCGUGAAAGCUCUCGGCUAAACCGGGAGAGGUCGUUGGAUACUGGCUGACUAGAGGAUGGUAGAGGCGUGUGGAAUUUCGGGUGUAGUGGUGAAAUGCGUAGAGAUCCGGAGGAACACCAGUGGCGAAGGCGACACGCUGGGCCGUACCUGACGCUAAAGCGCGACAGCAUGGGGAGCAAACGGG
rnacentral:rRNA from 1 species